UACGUAGGGACCAAGCGUUUGUUCGGAUUUACUGGGCGUAAAGGGCGCGUAGGCGGCGUGUUAAGUCACUUGUGAAAUCUCUAAGCUUAACUUAGAACGGUCAAGUGAUACUGACGUGCUAGAGUGCAGAAGGGGCAACCGGAAUUCUUGGUGUAGCGGUGAAAUGCGUAGAUAUCAAGAGGAGCACUGAGGUGAAGACGGGUUGCUGGGCUGACACUG
rnacentral:rRNA from 1 species